rnacentral:tRNA from 1 species
GCGGGUGUAGUUCAAAGGUAGAACCCGAGAUUCCCAUUCUCGUGAUGGCGGUUCGAUUCCGCUCACCCGCUCCA